rnacentral:rRNA from 1 species
CCUACGGGCGGCAGCAGUGAGGAAUAUUGGUCAAUGGCCGAGAGGCUGAACCAGCCAAGUCGCGUGAGGGAAGACGGCCCUACGGGUUGUAAACCUCUUUUGUCGGGGUGCAAAGCGCGUCCCGUGUGAUUCAUGGAGAGUACCCGAAGAAAAAGCAUCGGCUAACUCCGUGCCAGCAGCCGCGGUAAUACGGAGGAUGCGAGCGUUAUCCGGAUUUAUUGGGUUUAAAGGGUGCGCAGGCGGAGGUGCAAGUCAGCGGUCAAAUUGUGGGGCUCAACCCCGUACUGCCGUUGAAACUGCAGCCCUUGAGUGCGCGAGAAGUAUGCGGAAUGCGUGGUGUAGCGGUGAAAUGCAGAGAUAUCACGCAGAACUCCGAUUGCGAAGGCAGCAUACCGGCGCGCAACUGACGCUCAUGCACGAAAGCGUGGGUAUCGAACAGGAUUAGAUACCCGGGUAGUC